AUAUUGGACAAUGGGCGCAAGCCUGAUCCAGCCAUGCCGCGUGAGUGAUGACGGCCUUAGGGUUGUAAAGCUCUUUCGCCAGGGACGAUACUGACUGUACCGGGAGAAUAAGCCCCGGCUAACUCCGUGCCAGCAGCCGCGGUAAUACGGAGGGGGCUAGCGUUGUUCGGAAUUACUGGGCGUAAAGCGCACGUAGGCGGCUUUACAAGUCAGGGGUGAAAGCCCGCGGCUCAACCGCGGAAUUGCCCUUGAGACUGUAUCGCUUGAACACGGGAGAGGUGAGUGGAAUUCCGAGUGUAGAGGUGAAAUUCGUAGAUAUUCGGAAGAACACCAGUGGCGAAGGCGGCUCACUGGACCGUAGUUGACGCUGAGGUGCGAAAGCGUGGGGAGCAAACAGG
rnacentral:rRNA from 1 species